GUAGAUUUUAGCCUCCAUAAAAAGACUUCUUUGGGAAUGUCCAUAGCAGUUUUAUCUGCAAUAUCCUGAAAAAGUCUGCAAUUCAAAUGUCCAUCAACAAAACAGUGGAAAACCUAAUUGUUUUUAUUCGCAAUAAUCAAAAGGUGGUAACUCAAAUGUCCAUUAACAGAUUAAUUAAUGAAUAAACAAAAUGUGAUAUAUACAUACAUAGAACAUUAUUCAUCUUGAAAACAGAAUGAAAUGCUAGUAUAUGCUACAACAACAAUGAGCCUUGAAAACAUUAUGCUAGGUGGAAUAAGUCAGAUACAGAAGGAUAAACAUUGUGUUAUUGUGCUUAUAUAAGGUACCUAGAAUAGACAAAUUUACAGACACAGAAAGUGGAAUAUAGGUUACUGGGGGCUCAGGUAUAGCAGAGAGGGGAGAAUUGGGAGUAGCUGUUCAAUGGAUAUAGAGUUUCUGUUUGGGAUGAUGGGAAAGUUCUGGAAAUACAUAUAGUGCUGGUGGUUGCAUAAUACUGUAAUUGUAAUUAAUGCUGCUGAAUGGCACACUUAACAAUGGCUAAAAUGGCAGAUUUUAUGUUAUCUAUAUUUUACUAUAACAAAAAAUACAUAGAGCCUGGGCAACAUGGUAAAACCCCAUCUCUACAAAAAAAUACGAAAAAUUAGCUGUGCACAGUGGUAUGUACUUGUAGUCCCAGUUACAUAGGAGGCUAAGGUG
rnacentral:lncRNA from 1 species